rnacentral:rRNA from 1 species
AUUGAACGCUGGCGGCAGGCUUAACACAUGCAAGUCGAGCGGAAACGAUGAUAGCUUGCUAUCAGGCGUCGAGCGGCGGACGGGUGAGUAACGCGUAGGAACCUACCUGGUAGUUUGGGAUAGCCCAGAGAAAUUUGGAUUAAUACCGGAUACGCCCCACGGGGGAAAGCGGAGGAUCUUCGGACUUCGCGCUAUCAGAUGGGCCUGCGUGAGAUUAGCUAGUUGGUGGGGUAAUGGCCUACCAAGGCGACGAUCUCUAGCUGGUUUGAGAGGAUGAUCAGCCACACUGGGACUGAGACACGGCCCAGACUCCUACGGGAGGCAGCAGUGGGGAAUAUUGCACAAUGGGCGCAAGCCUGAUGCAGCCAUGCCGCGUGUGUGAAGAAGGCUCUAGGGUUGUAAAGCACUUUCAGCAGUGAGGAAAGGUUGUAAGUUAAUACCUUACAGCUGUGACGUUAACUGCAGAAGAAGCACCGGCUAACUCCGUGCCAGCCGCCGCAGUAACAC